UAAACCUCUGUCAGGAGUUAUGAACGGUGGGGGCGCUAAUAUCGCCUCCGCAUGACCAAGGCUCCAAAGGAAGCCACGGCUAACUACGUGC
rnacentral:rRNA from 1 species